rnacentral:rRNA from 1 species
AUUGAACGCUGGCGGCAGGCCUAACACAUGCAAGUCGAACGGUAACAGGAAGAAGCUUGCUUCUUUGCUGACGAGUGGCGGACGGGUGAGCAAUGUCUGGGAAACUGCCUGAUGGAGGGGGAUAACUACUGGAAACGGUAGCUAAUACCGCAUAACGUCGCAAGACCAAAAAGGGGGACCUUCGGGCCUCUUGCCAUCGGAUGUGCCCAGAUGGGAUUAGCUAGUAGGUGGGGUAACGGCUCACCUAGGCGACGAUCCCUAGCUGGUCUGAGAGGAUGACCAGCCACACUGGAACUGAGACACGGUCCAGACUCCUACGGGAGGCAGCAGUGGGGAAUAUUGCACAAUGGGCGCAAGCCUGAUGCAGCCAUGCCGCGUGUAUGAAGAAGGCCUUCGGGUUGUAAAGUACUUUCAGCGGGGAGGAAGGGAGUAAAGUUAAUACCUUUGCUCAUUGACGUUACCCGCAGAAGAAGCACCGGCUAACUCCGUG